rnacentral:ncRNA from 1 species
CUUAUCAAGAGUGACGGAGGGAACGGCCCGAUGAAGUCCGGCAACCUGCUUUCAGGGUGAAUACACCCCUGUAAGGUGCCAAUUCCGGCGAAGCAAUCGAAAGAUGAGG